rnacentral:rRNA from 1 species
UACGUAGGGACCAAGCGUUGUUCGGAUUUACUGGGCGUAAAGGGCGCGUAGGCGGCGCGGUAAGUCACUUGUGAAAUCUCUGAGCUUAACUCAGAACGGCCAAGUGAUACUGCAGUGCUAGAGUGUGGAAGGGGCAAUCGGAAUUCUUGGUGUAGCGGUGAAAUGCGUAGAUAUCAAGAGGAACACCUGAGGUGAAGACGGGUUGCUGGGCCAACACUGACGCUGAGACCCGAAAGCGUGGGGAUCAAACAGG